rnacentral:misc_RNA from 1 species
GAUGAAGAACGCAGUGAAAUGCGAUAAGUAAUGUGAAUUGCAGAAUUCAGUGAAUCAUCGAGUCUUUGAACGCACAUUGCGCCCCCUGGUAUUCCGUGGGGCAUGCCUGUCCGAGCGUCAUUGCUGCCCUCAAGCACGGCUUGUGUGUUGGGCCCCGCCCCCCGGCUCCCGGGGGGCGGGCCCGAAAGGCAGCGGCGGCACCGCGUCCGGUCCUCGAGCGUAUGGGGCUUCGUCACCCGCUCCGUAGGCCCGGCCGGCGCCCGCCGGCGACCCCCCUCAAUCUUUUCAGGUUGACCUCGGAUCAGGUAGGGAUACCCGCUGAACUUAAGCAUAUCAAUAAGCGGAGGA